UUUCUUCGUCUAGAUCGUUAAUCAGUAACUACGUAGAAUCGUUAACUGCGUAGCUGCUUGUGCCAUCGGCUUAUGUGUCCCCCCUUCCCCCACCACUUGGGAAGUUGCUCGACGAAACUAAGGUACAAGGAGUCAUUUAGUUGUCUCAUUUCGCAUCGAUAACAUGGUUCGUGUUGCGUCAGGUUUGUAACGUAUUGUAACGUAUUGGCGGCGUUGGUUUUUUAUUACUGCAGUAAUUUAAUCCAAUUAAAUAAUCACACGUGAAACUAAUAAAAUUUUAUCAAACAAUUUUGUCCGCGACAUUAGAGUUCUUGUUCGCCGAAUAUAAUUUUAGCGAUCGCGGUAAUGUGAUCUUGUCUUACGUUCUUUUGAAUAUUCUUUUUCGGUAUUAGAGUCAGUGCAUCUCUCAAGAGGACAAAGCUUCUGCAGGAGCUCAAGAAUACAUAUCACUGCUUCAUCUUCUUCAUCUUCUUUAGGAGUGUUCUAACAGUGACUCAAAAACCAAAUGUGUAUUUUUACAUAUCGUACUUCAAUUAUGUCUAUUCUGUAUAUUUUUCUUUGAUCUCUAUCAAUUAAGAAAUACGAUUUGAUUGACAAUUUAGGAGGAUAACAUUUUCUGAGAUUUUUCGCAAUCUCCAUUUCUACUAUUGGCCUUUCAACGGUUCCUGUCUGAUGUCAGUCUCCCGGAUGAUAUUCGCUGGGAUAGCGCAGCAACCACGGUAAUGUCUUCUGUUUCUCUGCUUCGAACGGUGAAUCGCAUGCAUUUCUGUUCCUCCGGUCACUCAAUCGUGUCGUCGGACGAAAGGUCCGAAUCGGCACGGGUGACUGACUGUAUUACGUAGAAUUUUUUGCGAACACAGUGAACGCGGGUAUCUUUUAUACCUGUGAGUAGUAACGUUCUUUUUUCAAAUUUUUUAGUUUAGAAUAGGUCUUCUUGCACAGCGCGAUUAUAAUAAUUAGUUUUUUAAUAUUUAGGUUAAACAUAUACGCUUGAGAAUAUAUUCGUGUUAUUCAUAAAUAUGCAUGUUAAUAUUUCGUAUGAAUAUUUGCAAAUGAUAAUAUAUACACGAAUAUAUGUGUGACAUAAAUAUACUUGAUCUUAAGCAAUGAAUUGAUCGUUACAAUAUUAAGUCGUUUCUUUCACUUCGGCUAGAAUUUAAAAUAUAAGUUAAAAUUCAUUUUUUUUCCGUACAAGAAUGCGUGAAAUUUUACGUGCAAGAAAACACUUCGCGACGGGCAGAUUUUUGAACCAAAGCAAUAAUUUUGAACACUGCUUCUGCAUUUUCGAUUAUAUGCUUUGAUAAAGAGAUCGCCUGAGAUUAUUCCUUUCUUAGUAA